AGAGUUUGAUCAUGGCUCAGAACGUACGCUGGCGGCACGCCUAACACAUGCAAGUCGAACGAAGUAGCAAUACUUAGUGGCAGACGGGUGAGUAACAUGUAGGUAUCUACCCUUUGGCCUGGAAUAACACGAGGAAACUUGUGCUAAUACCGGAUAAGUCUUUACGGAGAAAGCUUUAUGCACCAUUGGAUGAGCCUGCACUUGAUUAGUUUGUUGGUAGGGUAAUGGCCUACCAAGACUGUGAUCAAUAGCUGAUUUGAGAGGAUGAUCAGCCACAUUGGGACUGAGACACGGCCCAAACUCCUACGGGAGGCAGCAGUGGGGAAUCUUGCACAAUGGAGGAAACUCUGAUGCAGCGAUGCCGCGUGAGUGAAGAAGGCCUUUGGGUUGUAAAGCUCUUUCGUCGGGGAAGAAAAUGACUGUACCCGAAUAAGAAGGUCCGGCUAACUUCGUGCCAGCAGCCGCGGUAAUACGAAGGGACCUAGCGUAGUUCGGAAUUACUGGGCUUAAAGAGCUCGUAGGUGGUUAAAAAAGUUGAUGGUGAAAUCCCAAGGCUUAACCUUGGAACUGCCAUCAAAACUUUUUAGCUAGAGUGUGAUAGAGGUAAGUGGAAUUUCUAGUGUAGAGGUGAAAUUCGUAGAUAUUAGAAAGAACACCAAAUGCGAAGGCAACUUUCUGGAUCAUUACUGACACUGAGGAGCGAAAGCAUGGGUAGCGAAGAGGAUUAGAUACCCUCGUAGUCCAUGCCGUAAACGAUGUGUGUUAGACGUUGGAAAUUUAUUUUCAGUGUCGCAGCGAAAGCGAUAAACACACCGCCUGGGGAGUACGACCGCAAGGUUAAAACUCAAAUGAAUUGACGGGGACCCGCACAAGUAGUGGAGCAUGUGGUUUAAUUCGAAGAUACGCGCAGAACCUUACCAACACUUGACAUGUUCGUCGCGACUCUAAGAGAUUAGAGUUUUCGGUUCGGCCGGACGAAACACAGGUGCUGCAUGGCUGUCGUCAGCUCGUGUCGUGAGAUGUUGGGUUAAGUCCCGCAACGAGCGCAACCC
rnacentral:rRNA from 1 species